AGUGAACGCUGGCGGUAGGCCUAACACAUGCAAGUCGAACGGCAGCACAGUAAGAGCUUGCUCUUACGGGUGGCGAGUGGCGGACGGGUGAGGGAUACAUCGGAAUCUACUUUUUCGUGGGGGAUAACGUGGGGAAACUUACGCUAAUACCGCAUACGACCUACGGGUGAAAGCAGGGGAUCUUCGGACCUUGCGCGAUUGAAUGAGCCGAUGUCGGAUUAGCUAGUUGGCGGGGUAAAGGCCCACCAAGGCGACGAUCCGUAGCUGGUCUGAGAGGAUGAUCAGCCACACUGGAACUGAGACACGGUCCAGACUCCUACGGGAGGCAGCAGUGGGGAAUAUUGGACAAUGGGUGCAAGCCUGAUCCAGCCAUACCGCGUGGGUGAAGAAGGCCUUCGGGUUGUAAAGCCCUUUUGUUGGGAAAGAAAAGCAGCAGGUUAAUACCCCGCUGUUCUGACGGUACCCAAAGAAUAAGCACCGGCUAACUUCGUG
rnacentral:rRNA from 1 species